GCCUUUCUGGAGUCGUCCAAACAUAUUGGGGGUCAUCGGUCCUUGUCCAAUGCUUCCUUUUUAGAAAGCCAAUCCAGGGAAAUCAAGAUGAAAUGGAGCUGUCUCAGCCCUAUGUUCAACUUGUUAGACUCAAUGUACUGAAGGAGUGUUAGCGAGAAGCUUUCUGACAGAGCUCAAGUUGAUGGGAUGAAUUCACGUGCAGGUCCCCUCUUCAUGGAUCAAUCAACAAGGUCUUUGUCCUCUGAUGUUUCACAAUGGCUCAUUUGGUUUCAAUGGAUCCUCUUGUGGGCAGGACCUAACAGCGUUUUACACCAAUUAAUGCUUCUUUCCUGUUUGGUCAAAAGUCUGGAGGCUUAUUUUACUCUCACACCACCAUUUUACAUGGGUCUGACUCUACUGGCAUCACCAGAUUUGCACCUUUGUCACUCACUGCAGCCUGAAAAGAUGGGAAAACGUUCCCCCAAGCCUCACAGCUUCAGUCAUGGUUAAAUCAGAAUACUAAUCCAUCUGACAAAAAUACACUGGUCCUCUGGAUUUUCUGAGAUGUCAGCUAUGGCCUGUGUGCAUAAUGGCCAAUAUGCCAGGGGGUAUUUAAAGUGUAGAGUAAUGACAUUAAAUCAGGUCUCAAAGAGAAGGUGAAAAGAAUACUCUUCUACCAUGACUCAACUGAAUUAUUUAUUUUAAAUAAAAACGACCAUGGUAAUCUCACGAUCAUGGAUCCUCCACCAGUAUAAACCAGUGCAGUGCCAAUGAAGUACAUGCAAAU